AGAGGUUAUUGGUCCUAUUUUUUAGGCGUUCUUAUAUGCGUUGCGCUUAUCCAUCUCUCCCGUCUCAUUGGCGGCGCGCGACGGCGGCGCCGGCUCGCACACCUGGAGCUUGGAGGUCUACAUCGGCCUCCAAGAGAAGGAGCUCGCUCCGCAGCAGCUUCCAUUGGCAGCGACUCAUCUUCUCACCGGCCAACAACGGCCUGACCGACCAGGUUUGAUUCCGGCCGGCACGUGACUCUCAUGUUUGAAACCAGAUCGACAAGGCACUCAACUAUCGUUUUCUGUCGAUUUUAUAGGUGGCUGGAAUCUGGUGAUCGUUGCCUUCCGCGUCGCCAACAACCGAGUGCCAUCCAUGAGAACAAUGGAACCCAGUUCUUAGUGGUGGGCGUAAAAAGUCUACUCCAAGUUCUCCAACCACAAGCAAUUUUGGAUUCCACCAAUCACUGAUUUGUUUGACUGAGGAGCACCUCCAGAAGUACAUGUGGUGUUAUCUGAAGCUUGCGGGAACAUAUACCUCUUUUUUCUUCUGCAGUGUUUUUAAGCAUUAAACCUUUUUGAAGAUGUAAAAAAGUAGCUGCAUAGUCCAGUUUGCUUUAGGCAGUGUACAUGUUUCUAUCAAGAUGCAAAUUUCUGUACAUGAUGUACCAAUGUAUCAAGUAUCUUGUUAACCAUGGUGCCACUUGAUAGAUCUCUGAAGAAGCAGUUACUUUUGUUUACAUGUAUAUAACACACAGAGCGAACAGUACUGUGAUACCCUUUGUUCAGUUCAAAAAAUAUGGAUAGUUCUUUUUGAAGUA